rnacentral:rRNA from 1 species
GAUGAACGCUGGCGGCGUGCCUAAUACAUGCAAGUCGAGCGAACGGACGAGGAGCUUGCUUUUCUGAUGUUAGCGGCGGACGGGUGUGUAACACGUGGAUAACCUACCUAUAAGACUGGGAUCAUUUCGGGAAACCGGAGCUAAUACCGGAUAAUAUUCUGAACCGCAUGGUUCAAAAGUGAAAGACGGUCUUGCUGUCACUUAUAGAUGGAUCCGCGCUGGAUUAGCUAGUUGGUAAGGUAACGGCUUACCAAGGCAACGAUGCAUAGCCGACCUGAGAGGGGGGUCGGCCACACGGGAACGGAGACGCGGACCAGACGCCUACGAGAGGGAGCAGUAGGGUAUCUUACGCAGUAGGCGAGAACAUGACACAGCAACGCGGAGUGAGAGGUGGCAGUGCUGCGUUCGUGAUGCUCGGUUACUGGGGAAGAACAGAUGUGUAAGUAACUGUGGACAUCGUGACGGUACCGAAUCAGAAAGCCACGGCUAACUACGUG